CAUUAGAUAUAGUGUAGUUAACGAGUACUAGAUGGCGUCAAGUUUGAAAUUAUGCGCGGGAUUGUGCUGUGAAUCUGAAAUCUGAAUGAAUUGAGAUUGGCUUGAAAUUGAAUGACAGUCUCUCCUAGCCUGAUAUUCGAGCAACCCAUCGCAACCGAUCUUCCAGUUUCGACACUCGGAUGACUUCAGCCGACCAAUCUCUUUCUUUCUUUUACCUUUCCUGUGACGUCGCACGUGUACGUUCAUGUGAAUGUGAGUGUAUUCACGAGGGCGUCACUUAUUCCUUUCCCCUUUCCCAACCUGAGGUCACCAGAAGGUCUACCAGUCAGUCACAAGUCUAAUCAACUCUCAACCAACUGGCAACUUAAGAUCCGACAAGUGCGAAAAAUCGUUGAGCACAUGACGUAC